UUCUUAUGGGGUGGGGACCGCACGCUAGCAAAAAGAAAUUCUUUCUUCUUCUACAAUCACAAAAGAAUAGAUAAGAUCGCGCACACACAUAGAGAGGAGGAACGAACAGAGGGAACAAAAACAGAGCAAAAGUGCAAAAAAGAGCCACGGCAGACACCAAAAUCAGGAGUUUUCCACUUUCUUCUUCUUCCAUAUCUCCACCAUGAAACCUCCAUGAUAACACCUGAUUUUCAUCCAUUAAUAUCAGAUCUCAAGUUACCUAUGAACACCCCAAACCCACCUCUAACUUACCGUGAAAAGCUGUCAAAAACAAUGCCAAAAUUGAGCUCUGAAACUCAGCUCCAAAGAAGGUGAAAAUUGCCUUUAAACCAGCCUCAAAACCCAUGAGAGUCAGCCCCAAAAUUCAGCUGUCAACAACCACCAAGAACCAUCCAAAAAUGGACUAAAACAACACCCGGAAUGACCCGAAAUAGCUGCUAAAAAUCUGCUCAACUCUAUCCGCAAAACAGUCCUUAAACUCGCCCCAAACUUCAGCAAAAUCUAGCCGCGAAACCCACGUAAGAGCAACUUCAAAAUAGUUCCAAAGUUGUCGCGUUUCCGCUGUAAAGAAAGUGCUUAGCUCAUUUUUUCACUUUUGAAUUUUCGACGAGUUUCGAGUUGCCGGAGGGGUUGUUCUCUGUUCUGGUAGAGGCACCUGUUUGAGGUCUUCGUCCGAUUUUUCGAUCUAGGUCCUGUUCUCCAGUUUCCUGUGGAGAUUCUUGCUUGAGGUUCUAUUGCGUCGCGCCUCAGAAUUGUCAAAUAGUUGCAUUUCAGAUUUAUUUGAGAUCCAGGUAUCUCGGGGUACGACAACGGUUGUUGACCAUACCAGUUGGAGACUUUCUAUGGAGAUUGCGAGGUAGCUGCUUGGCGACCGCAGUUCUGCCUUCUCCUUUCCUUAUCUUCCAUUAGUGUAUUUAUUUGGAUAUUCUCAGACCAUGUUGGUCAUGUUAUUUCGAAUAGAUGUAAUAGUUUUAGCUCAUGACUUAGUGACACCCGAGGCCGGGAUUGUAUUUCUUAUCGCUGGAUAUUGAUUUCUACUUUUAUCUUAUUGAAUUUCUAUUAAAUUA